UAAAGAUUCAUCGCUGAUAGAUAGGCAUGCGUUCCAUUAGGCAGUUGGCGGGGUAACGGCCCACCAAACCGACGAUGGAUAGGGGUUCUGAGAGGAAGGUCCCCCACAUUGGUACUGAGACACGGACCAAACUCCUACGGGAGGCAGCAGUGAGGAAUAUUGGUCAAUGGGCGUAAGCCUGAACCAGCCAAGUCGCGUGAGGGAUGAAGGUUCUAUGGAUCGUAAACCUCUUUUAUAAGGGAAUAAAGUGUGGGACGUGUCCUGUUUUGUAUGUACCUUAUGAAUAAGGAUCGGCUAACUCCGUGCCAGCAGCCGCGGUAAUACGGAGGAUCCGAGCGUUAUCCGGAUUUAUUGGGUUUAAAGGGUGCGUAGGCGGCCUUUUAAGUCAGCGGUGAAAGUCUGUGGCUCAACCAUAGAAUUGCCGUUGAAACUGGGAGGCUUGAGUAUGUUUGAGGCAGGCGGAAUGCGUGGUGUAGCGGUGAAAUGCUUAGAUAUCACGCAGAACCCCGAUUGCGAAGGCAGCCUGCCAAGCCAUGACUGACGCUGAUGCACGAAAGCGUGGGGAUCAAACAGGAUUAGAUACCCUGGUAGUCCACGCAGUAAACGAUGAUCACUAGCUGUUUGCGAUACACAGUAA
rnacentral:rRNA from 1 species